rnacentral:rRNA from 1 species
CCUACGGGAGGCAGCAGUGGGGAAUUUUGGACAAUGGGCGCAAGCCUGAUCCAGCCAUGCCGCGUGCGGGAAGAAGGCCUUCGGGUUGUAAACCGCUUUUGUCAGGGAAGAAAAGGUUCUGGUUAAUACCUGGGACUCAUGACGGUACCUGAAGAAUAAGCACCGGCUAACUACGUGCCAGCAGCCGCGGUAAUACGUAGGGUGCAAGCGUUAAUCGGAAUUACUGGGCGUAAAGCGUGCGCAGGCGGUUAUGCAAGACAGAGGUGAAAUCCCCGGGCUCAACCUGGGAACUGCCUUUGUGACUGCAUAGCUAGAGUGCGGCAGAGGGGGAUGGAAUUCCGCGUGUAGCAGUGAAAUGCGUAGAUAUGCGGAGGAACACCGAUGGCGAAGGCAAUCCCCUGGGCCUGCACUGACGCUCAUGCACGAAAGCGUGGGGAGCAAACAGGAUUAGAUACCCUGGUAGUCCACGCCCUAAACGAUGUCAACUGGUUGUUGGGAGGGUUUCUUCUCAGUAACGUAGCUAACGCGUGAAGUUGACCGCCUGGGGGAGGUAACGGUCCGCGAGGUUAGUAACGUUACGAAAGGAAGUUAGACGGCGUGAGACGNGCCGACGGACGACGACGAGGGAGGAGG